rnacentral:rRNA from 1 species
UGGGCAACCUGCCCUCAGCUCUGGGAUAACUCCAAGAAAUUGGGGCUAAUAUCGGAUAUGACUGCUGACCGCAUGGUCUGAUGGUGGAAAGAUUUAUCGGCUGGGGGAUGGGCCCGCGGCCUAUCAGCUUGUUGGUGGGGUAGUGGCCUACCAAGGCGACGACGGGUAGCCGGCCUGAGAGGGUGACCGGCCACACUGGGACUGAGACACGGCCCAGACUCCUACGGGA